rnacentral:rRNA from 2 species
GUGACUGGGGCUAAGUCGUAACAAGGUAGCCGUACCGGAAGGUGCGGCUGGAACACCUCCUUU